AUUAUUCCUACAGAUUUAGCAAAAACAUGACCUGAGAAACCCAGCCUACUGGCACAACAUCAAGCAGAAAUGGUCUCCCUGAUGUUAAACUUGAAAGAGAAGCAGUGUAGGAUGUGAGGGAACUAAGGUCAUCUCCAUGGCUGGUAGGUAACUGUGGUUGGCAGGUGCAGCCACUUAUUCUCCUUUACAAGUGCUUUUAAAAAAGGUAAAAUUUUAAUAGAUGACUCGUUAAUGCAUUUCCACAUUAAGGGCUUCAUUAAGAAGACUGUGUAGUUAAAAAACAUAAAUAAUGUAUACAUUUACAGGAAUUUAGAUAUUAUUAGUAUAUGCCCACCAUCACACGUUUUUUUGUCUUUAUUUCAGGACAAGGAUGGCUGGAGAUUCAAAACACCUUCAAGCCUACAUAAAUAAAAAAUGAGUGGCAGCUGGGUGAGAAAAGAGCCUCCUGGGUUACAGAGCCAGAAAAAGAUUUAGAUGCUCCCUGGGCCAGAUCCAGCCCUCUGGCCUUAUAUUGCUCGUGUGUGCUGUGAAUGAUGAUGAUGAAUCCUAAGUCCACAGCCACCAAGGUAAAGCAAGCCAAGAGACAAGCUUCCAAAUAUGCUCACACUCACAAAAACACAGCCAAACUGGAGAAAAGGUCAGCAGGAGGUCGCUAGGUGGGCUGUAGAAAAAUCACAAGCUGUGAAGCCAUAUUAAAACUAUAUUAAUAAAUGA